AGAGUUUGAUCCUGGCUCAGGAUGAACGCCGGCGGUGUGCCUAAUACAUGCAAGUCGUACGCACUGGCCCAACUGAUUGAUGGUGCUUGCACCUGAUUGACGAUGGAUCACCAGUGAGUGGCGGACGGGUGAGUAACACGUAGGUAACCUGCCCCGGAGCGGGGGAUAACAUUUGGAAACAGAUGCUAAUACCGCAUAACAACAAAAGCCACAUGGCUUUUGUUUGAAAGAUGGCUUUGGCUAUCACUCUGGGAUGGACCUGCGGUGCAUUAGCUAGUUGGUAAGGUAACGGCAUACCAAGGCGAUGAUGCAUAGCCGAGUUGAGAGACUGAUCGGCCACAAUGGAACUGAGACACGGUCCAUACUCCUACGGGAGGCAGCAGUAGGGAAUCUUCCACAAUGGGCGCAAGCCUGAUGGAGCAACACCGCGUGAGUGAAGAAGGGUUUCGGCUCGUAAAGCUCUGUUGUUGGAGAAGAACGUGCGUGAGAGUAACUGUUCACGCAGUGACGGUAUCCAACCAGAAAGUCACGGCUAACUACGUGCCAGCAGCCGCGGUAAUACGUAGGUGGCAAGCGUUAUCCGGAUUUAUUGGGCGUAAAGCGAGCGCAGGCGGUUGCUUAGGUCUGAUGUGAAAGCCUUCGGCUUAACCGAAGAAGUGCAUCGGAAACCGGGCAACUUGAGUGCAGAAGAGGACAGUGGAACUCCAUGUGUAGCGGUGGAAUGCGUAGAUAUAUGGAAGAACACCAGUGGCGAAGGCGGCUGUCUGGUCUGCAACUGACGCUGAGGCUCGAAAGCAUGGGUAGCGAACAGGAUUAGAUACCCUGGUAGUCCAUGCCGUAAACGAUGAGUGCUAGUGUGUUGGAGGGUUUCCGCCCUUCAGUGCCGGAGCUUCACGCAUUAAGCACUCCGUCCUGGGGAGUUA
rnacentral:rRNA from 1 species